AUUGAACGCUGGCGGCAGGCCUAACACAUGCAAGUCGAGCGGGGUUUUCGGACCUAGCGGCGGACGGGUGAGUAAUGCGUAGGAAGCUACCCGAUAGAGGGGGAUACCAGUUGGAAACGACUGUUAAUACCGCAUAAUGUCUACGGACCAAAGUGUGGGACCUUCGGGCCACAUGCUAUCGGAUGCGCCUACGUGGGAUUAGCUAGUUGGUAAGGUAAUGGCUCACCAAGGCGACGAUCUCUAGCUGGUUUGAGAGGAUGAUCAGCCACACUGGAACUGAGACACGGUCCAGACUCCUACGGGAGGCAGCAGUGGGGAAUAUUGGACAAUGGGCGCAAGCCUGAUCCAGCCAUGCCGCGUGUGUGAAGAAGGCCUUCGGGUUGUAAAGCACUUUCAGCGAGGAGGAAGGGUUGUGUGUUAAUAGUACACAGCCUUGACGUUACUCGCAGAAGAAGCACCGGCUAACUCUGUGCCAGCCGCCGCCGUAA
rnacentral:rRNA from 1 species